AUUGAACGCUGGCGGCAGGCCUAACACAUGCAAGUCGAGCGCGCGGCGGACGGGUGUGUAAUGUCUGGGAAACUGCCUGAUGGAGGGGGAUAACUACUCGAAAAGGUGGCGAAUACAGCACACCAUCAGAUGUGUCCAGAUGGGAUUAGCUAUUGGGUGGGGUAACGGCUCACCUAGGCGACGAUCCCUAGCUGGUCUGAGAGGAUGACCAGCCACACUGGAACUGAGACACGGUCCAGACUCCUACGGGAGGCCGCAGUGGGGAAUAUUGCACAAUGGGCGCAAGCCUGAUGCAGCCAUGCCGCGUGUGUGAAGAAGGCCUUCGGGUUGUAAAGCACUUUCAGCGGGGAGGCGUUACCCGCAGAAGAAGCACCGGCUAACUCCGUGCCAGCCGCCGCGGUAAUAC
rnacentral:rRNA from 1 species